rnacentral:rRNA from 1 species
AUUGAACGCUGGCGGCAUGCCUUACACAUGCAAGUCGAACGGUAACAGGCCUUCGGGCGCUGACGAGUGGCGAACGGGUGAGUAAUGCAUCGGAACGUGCCCAGUCGUGGGGGAUAACGCAGCGAAAGCUGUGCUAAUACCGCAUACGAUCUGCGGAUGAAAGCGGGGGACCUUCGGGCCUCGCGCGAUUGGAGCGGCCGAUGUCAGAUUAGGUAGUUGGUGGGGUAAAGGCUCACCAAGCCAACGAUCUGUAGCUGGUCUGAGAGGACGACCAGCCACACUGGGACUGAGACACGGCCCAGACCCCUACGGGAGGCAGCAGUGGGGAAUUUUGGACAAUGGGCGCAAGCCUGAUCCAGCAAUGCCGCGUGCAGGAAGAAGGCCUUCGGGUUGUAAACUGCUUUUGUACGGAGCGAAAAGGCUCCCUCUAAUACAGGGGGCUCAUGACGGUACCGUAAGAAUAAGCACCGGCUAACUACGUGCCAGCCGCCGCGGUAACAC